rnacentral:tmRNA from 1 species
GGGGCUGACUGGUUUUGACAGCAAGACGAAUGAUACUGUAAGCAAGUCGGGGAUUGAAUGGCACCUCGUUACUAAGUCGUUUAAAAUUAUAACUGGCGAAUACAAUUACGCUCUUGCUGCUUAAUUUUCUGAUAGAAAAUUAAGCUUAACCCCGAGUUAGACUCGGGGCGAGACGUCUCCGGUGAAGGUUUGUCUAUCUCCUUCAUCAAUGGAGGCGUGGUCAAUGAUAGAAUAGAUGGUGUUGCGCUUCGAAACACUUUCGAACAUGAAGAAGAUAAGCUUUUGUUGGCCUGUUUGUGGGCAGACACUUGACUAAAAUCAAUCAUAAACUAAACUUGUAGAAGGCUUUAUGAUUCCUUGUUUGGACGCGGGUUCGACUCCCGCCAGCUCCACAA